AGAGCGUCAUGUUUGUUUACUUCCGGUAAAAAUGGCGUCGUAUCGGUGGAUUUGUCGCGUUUUUAUCACCUCUAUUUGCAUUUAGGGCACAUUUUCGCUUACUGUGAUCUUGUUUGAGGAAACAUGAAAAUGAAUGUUGUUCAGUACCCCUUUGCAGAUAAGUGAUGAAGCUUUCCCUAAUUUCCUAGAGCCCUGGUAGAGUUUAGGCUAGUCCGGGUGGUAUUUAGUAGCCUAUUUAAAGGUACUGGGGCUGGCUUGGGGGAGGAGCUUUGAGUACUGUUCCUUUUGAAAUACAAUAGUUCACUAGGAGCUGCAUCUGCAUGCUGCAUGUGAAGUGAUUCUACCUCGAUUGCCUGCAUAAGCAAAUGAAAGAAAAUAAACGCCUGGAGCGGAUCAGAUGAGCCUCACCAACUGACGUCCUUUGGUGGAUUAGUAUUCAUGGCCUCGCCCACCUUGGCUUGAGACGGCCCACGGGAAGACACUAUUAAUUUUGCCACUUUGCCAAGGUGCUUACAUGGCAGAACAAGUUCGUGCCUGUGCUAUGUGUGGCGAUAACAAAGCCACGUUGCAUCUCUUGCCCAAGAAAGAAGAGUUGAGGAAGAAAUGGUUGGAAUUUAUCUUUGGAACACCACCAGCGAAAUACAACUCCAACUUAGUUCUGUGUUCUAAUCAUUUUGACCACAGUGACUUUUCCAACUUCGGUGCCUACAGUAGUGGUUUUGCUUCAAGGUUGUUCAUAAAACCUGGAUCUGUACCGUCACGACGAUCGACCGCCAGCUCACAGACUAGCACAUUGGUGACCCCCCCCACCCAUACCAGCACACAAACAGAUCCACCUAGCCUUUCAUGUCGGGCUACACUGCUUGCUAUGGGUACAUUAGGUCAUCCUGCUAGAAGCAAAGGUACCCAAACUGAAUCCUUCAUGAAAAGUAUGAGCAUUUCCACGAGUACUUUGGAUGCACCAUGGGGGCCUGCUACCUCCAUGCCCGUGAAGCAUGUUCAUCCAAGGCCAGCUAAAAGACCUCGGGUUGGGGAGGAGGACGAGGAGGAGGAUGAAGGUGGCAUCUUCACAAUAAAACCUGAACCCCACGACUCCACCUAUGAUCCAGCGCAGUCAAGGAGCAAUGUGACAGAAUCAUUACAGCCCACUGAUACGUCUUCAACUGGAUACAAAGACUCCAAGUGCAUCGUAUUGGAGAAGAACCUUAUGGAACUUUUUGAAACGUGUCCAGUCUGCAGCCGAGUGUCAGAUGUGAGGACCUACAAACGAGGAACAUAUUUGUCGGUCGUCCAAAAAUGCAAUCACUGCCAGUAUUCCAAGCAAUGGAAGAGCCAGCCAGUGAUGGCAGCGUCCCUGUAGGCAACAAUCAACCGUCUGCUGCCAUAUAUUUCACCGGCCGUUCAUAUUGUGCAAAAGCCCUCUGCAGAGUGGAGAAGAUACUUACGAAUAAGAGUGUCCUCAGUGAUGAUGAGAAGCUAAGCUCCCGGUAUCAGACCUCAACACUGGAGACAUUCCACCGUGUAAUCUUGGGCUUCACACCCAAAAGUGUGGUCUACUCUUCAUUGGGAUGUUGUACAGACUAUAUCUGGCAGCAAUGCCCUUCAAUGAAAACGCUGGUCGCACUCAGGCAAGAACAACUUCAGGGAAACUGAUGUACAGAAAAGGGUACGUCUACAACCUGAAAGCUGUGGUGUUUGAAGAGAUGGUCCCCAACCCCCAGUCUGCUCGGAGGAGCUCUAGAAUAUCUGACCUCAGUUUUGUACCAUCCUCUGAUGAGAGGAGCUGCGGCUGCAUAAACAUCUCGCUUUAGCCCAGGGCGGCCCUAAAGACGAGGUAUUGGCCCCGUGUGUCUGGGAGCUCCCUUCGGAUCUUCAGGACAACACAAGCCGGAACAACAACUCUGACCUUUCUUCCUAAAUAACCCAGCCCCAGCGUACAAAAUAUCUGCAGGCCAGAUGUCUGCAUCAGCUGGCAAAAAGAGGACAUUGUUAAUUUCUGUACAUAGUUUUGUGUUUCGUUUUGCGUUUGCAUUAUUUUUUAUAGACUUCAUUAUGACUAUGUAAAUAUAUUGAAGUUAUUUGUUGAAAAUGGACCCGUUUUGUAUUUUGGCUUUCUAAGUUUUCUUCAAAAGGUAAGUAGCAUAGGAGUAGCCUAUCUGCUAGGAAGAUUGCAAAGAUUUAAUAGAGUAAAGAAACAAGUCUUUAUUUAAAAUGUCCAACUGUAUUAGGAUUAUGCAAUUUGAAUGUAUGAUGACGAUCAACUAUUACCAUUCUGAAACUUCAAUCGACAAACGAUCAGGAAGCGGUUCUUGUGCUAUCUCUUCUACUUCCUCCGAUUCAGGAUCAAACAGAUAAGGCUGUAUCUCCAAAGACAGUUUUAGCGCGGUAAAGUUGAAGGAGCGGAGGCAGGUAGAAUUCUUGAUAACGUGCUGGAGGGACAUAUUCAUGACAUGCAAAUAACUCGCCUCAGAUUGGCUAACAGCACUGUGACGUACAGUGCUUUUAUCAGUCUAAUUAUUUGCAUGUCAUGAAUAAUCAUGAGUAAGAGCCAAAUCGUGUCGUUCCUCCCCGCCCACCUCCUCCGUACUAGAACCAUGGAUCUAUUAGACUAGAACAGCACCAAAACCGACUCACAGUCACAGAGCAUUCAUUGCUACUAGUGACCACCGCAAAAUUAAUAAAAAAAACGAUGCAAUGACACCUUUAGGCAAAGGUUGAAAUUGACAAGGAAGUAGGCCUAACCCCAAACGUUACACCUUGUAAUAUAUUUAGUUGUAAACAAAUUAAAAGCAUACGCCAACCCAGCUCAACGAUCCUAGAAAUAAUUAUGGUUAUACAACAGUGAGUUCUGACCAGGUAAUUUAAUCGGACAAGAGUCAUACCAUGAGUGCUGACAUAAAGUAUAGCAGCACUGGUACCUCUAGCUACAUCCUCAAGGCUCAAACACAGGUUGGAGCAUAACUCCUCACAGUUAACCGUUAUUAAUAUCAACAAUGGCUGUUAGAUUAUAACUAACUAACUCGCAAAGAAAUAAUGAAUGGUCGUUUGGAGAGGGUGGAGGAAAAUAAGCACAAAAAACCACACACACACGGCCCCAGUGCGACUGUCUACAGACUCUAUGUUCACUGGCUGCAGAAACAUACAGAUGUGCGUGAUACAGGUUGAUGGGGUGUAGUACCUAUAGUCCUACACAAGUAGCCAGCUGGUUAUGCAGGGAAAUGUGUAUCUAUGGCAACAGUCCAGUCCCAGUCCAGCUGCUGAACUAUCAGGGUUGAUGUACAGUUAUAUUGGAUUCUGAUACUUAUGUAAUAUUAAAUAAAUAGGCCUACAGGACUUUUCCUUGUAACAGUUAGAGUAAUUGCUACUUUUACUGAAGAAAAUGAUCUGAGUACUUCUACCAAUGGUUUGGUAGUCAAUAUAAAUCAUGGAACAGUGAAAUGUCAGUACUUAGGUGGCCAGCUUGUGUUAUUGAUGGACUCAAAUAUUUCAAAUUCGUUUAUAGGCCAUUUACAUCACACACAAUGUUGACAUAGAAAGUACACAAGGAAGUACAAUCAGGCGGAUGAUUGUCUGUUUAUUGAGCAAGGGACUGAAAUGAUGACCUUUGAACGCUACUCCUCUGCAGUGAGUAGAGCAGGGGUGAGCCUACCUGGGCCUAGUGAUGUAAGCCUAGUGAUGGCUGAUGAGAUGGUUCAUCCAAUCAUCUGCCAAGGAUUUGUUUGAAGGUACUUGCUGCCCAAACAGUUUCAAAGAAUGACUUCCGAGAUGGUUGAGCAAUCUGGCGUCACUGGUAACAGUUUUUUUCAGGGUUCUUUUUGAGUAAAUUAUGUGGCAAAUCAUGCAUAGUCCGAUUGGAAUAGCCUUUUCCUGUUCUAGCACUUUUUAAACCUUUUAUUUGACCUGGAUGGCUCUAUUUAGUGAAAAAUGUAAGUUAGCUGUGGUGGCCCUUUUGACAGAAUUCAAAAAUGAUUAAUCUGUUAUG